rnacentral:rRNA from 1 species
AGAACGAACGCUGGCGGCAGGCUUAACACAUGCAAGUCGAACGCGUGUAGCAAUACACGAGUGGCGCACGGGUGAGUAACGCGUGGAUAUCUGCCUUUUGGUUCGGAAUAACCCCGGGAAACUGGGGCUAAUACCGGAUGGUUCCUACGGGAUAAAGAUUUAUCGCCAAAAGAUGAGUCCGCGUACGAUUAGCUAGUUGGUGAGGUAAUGGCUCACCAAGGCGACGAUCGUUAGCUGGUCUGAGAGGACGAUCAGCCACACUGGGACUGAGACACGGCCCAGACUCCUACGGGAGGCAGCAGUGGGGAAUAUUGGACAAUGGGGGCAACCCUGAUCCAGCCAUGCCGCGUGAGUGAUGAAGGCCUUCGGGUUGUAAAGCUCUUUUGGCGGGGACGAUGAUGACGGUACCCGCAGAAUAAGCCCCGGCUAACUUCGCGCCAGCAGCCGC